rnacentral:rRNA from 1 species
UACGUAGGUGGCAAGCGUUGUCCGGAUUUACUGGGCGUAAAGAGCUCGUAGGCGGUUUGUCGCGUCUGCUGUGAAAACUCGGGGCUUAACCCCGGGCCUGCAGUGGGUACGGGCAGACUAGAGUGCGGAAGGGGCUACUGGAAUUCUCGGUGUAGCGGUGAAAUGCGUAGAUAUCGAGAGGAACACCUGCGGCGAAGGCGGGUAGCUGGGCCGACACUGACGCUGAUGCGCGAAAGCCAGGGGAGCGAAUGGG